CGGGUGAGUAACACGUGGAUAACCUACCUAUAAGACUGGGAUAACUUCGGGAAACCGGAGCUAAUACCGGAUAAUAUAUUGAACCGCAUGGUUCAAUAGUGAAAGACGGUUUUGCUGUCACUUAUAGAUGGAUCCGCGCUGCAUUAGCUAGUUGGUAAGGUAACGGCUUACCAAGGCAACGAUGCGUAGCCGACCUGAGAGGGUGAUCGGCCACACUGGAACUGAGACACGGUCCAGACUCCUACGGAGGCAGCAGCC
rnacentral:rRNA from 1 species